GUGGCGAACUGGUGAGUAACACGUGGGAAACCUGCCCAGAAGCGGGGGAUAACACCUGGAAACAGAUGCUAAUACCGCAUAACAACUUGGACCGCAUGGUCCGAGCUUGAAAGAUGGCUUCGGCUAUCACUUUUGGAUGGUCCCGCGGCGUAUUAGCUAGAUGGUGGGGUAACGGCUCACCAUGGCAAUGAUACGUAGCCGACCUGAGAGGGUAAUCGGCCACAUUGGGACUGAGACACGGCCCAAACUCCUACGGGAGGCAGCAGUAGGGAAUCUUCCACAAUGGACGAAAGUCUGAUGGAGCAACGCCGCGUGAGUGAAGAAGGGUUUCGGCUCGUAAAACUCUGUUGUUAAAGAAGAACAUAUCUGAGAGUAACUGUUCAGGUAUUGACGGUAUUUAACCAGAAAGCCACGGCUAACUACGUGCCAGCAGCCGCGGUAAUACGUAGGUGGCAAGCGUUGUCCGGAUUUAUUGGGCGUAAAGCGAGCGCAGGCGGUUUUUUAAGUCUGAUGUGAAAGCCUUCGGCUCAACCGAAGAAGUGCAUCGGAAACUGGGAAACUUGAGUGCAGAAGAGGACAGUGGAACUCCAUGUGUAGCGGUGAAAUGCGUAGAUAUAUGGAAGAACACCAGUGGCGAAGGCGGCUGUCUGGUCUGUAACUGACGCUGAGGCUCGAAAGUAUGGGUAGCAAACAGGAUUAGAUACCCUGGUAGUCCAUACCGUAAACGAUGAAUGCUAAGUGUUGGAGGGUUUCCGCCCUUCAGUGCUGCAGCUAACGCAUUAAGCAUUCCGCCUGGGGAGUACGGCCGCAAGGCUGAAACUCAAAGGAAUUGACGGGGGCCCGCACAAGCGGUGGAGCAUGUGGUUUAAUUCGAAGCUACGCGAAGAACCUUACCAGGUCUUGACAUACUAUGCAAAUCUAAGAGAUUAGACGUUCCCUUCGGGGACAUGGAUACAGGUGGUGCAUGGUUGUCGUCAGCUCGUGUCGUGAGAUGUUGGGUUAAGUCCCGCAACGAGCGCAACCCUUAUUAUCAGUUGCCAGCAUUAAGUUGGGCACUCUGGUGAGACUGCCGGUGACAAACCGGAGGAAGGUGGGGAUGACGUCAAAUCAUCAUGCCCCUUAUGACCUGGGCUACACACGUGCUACAAUGGAUGGUACAACGAGUUGCGAACUCGCGAGAGUAAGCUAAUCUCUUAAAGCCAUUCUCAGUUCGGAUUGUAGGCUGCAACUCGCCUACAUGAAGUCGGAAUCGCUAGUAAUCGCGGAUCAGCAUGCCGCGGUGAAUACGUUCCCGGGCCUUGUACACACCGCCCGUCACACCAUGAGAGUUUGUAACACCCAAAGUCGGUGAGGGUAACCUUUUAGGAACCAGCCGC
rnacentral:rRNA from 2 species